rnacentral:rRNA from 1 species
GUGCACCAGGCGCGAAUACUUUACAAUGUGCGAAAGCACGAUAAGGGAACUCUGAGUGCCUCCUAAGGAGGCUGUUCUGAUGUCUAAAAAUCAACAGAAGUAAGGGCUGGGUAAGACCGGUGCCAGCCGCCGCGGUAACACCGGCAGCCCAAGUGGUAGCCACGUUUAUUGGGUCUAAAGCGUUCGUAGCCGGCCAGGUAAGUUCCUUGGUAAAUUUAGCCGCUUAACGGUUAAGCUUUCAGGGAAUACUGCUUGGCUUGGGACUGGGAGAGGUCAGAGGUACUCCGGGGGUAGGGGUGAAAUCUAUUAAUCCCUGGGGGACCACCGGUAGCGAAGGCGUCUGACCAGACCAGGUCCGACGGUGAGGGACGAAGGCUAGGGGCGCGAACCGGAUUAGAUACCCCCGUAGU